CAAGUCGAACGCGAAAGCUCCCUUCGGGGAGCAAGUAGAGUGGCGCACGGGUGAGUAACACGUAGGUAAUCUACCUUUGGAUGGGGAAUAACAACCGGAAACGGUUGCUAAUACCGCAUAAUGCAGCGGCACCUAAUGGUGACAGUUGUUAAAGCGGGGGAUCGAAAGACCUCGCGUCUGAAGAGGAGCCUGCGGCAGAUUAGCUAGUUGGUAAGGUAACGGCUUACCAAGGCGAUGAUCUGUAGCCGGCCUGAGAGGGCGGUCGGCCACACUGACACUGACAUACGGGUCAGACUCCUACGGGAGGCAGCAGUCGGGAAUUUUGGGCAAUGGGCGAAAGCCUGACCCAGCAACGCCGCGUGAAGGAUGAAAUCCCUCGGGAUGUAAACUUCGCAAGAACGGGAAGAAUAAGUGAGGGUUAAUAUCUCUUACGAUGACGGUACUGUUUGUAAGCUCCGGCUAACUCCGUGCCAGCAGCCGCGGUAAUACGGGGGGAGCAAGCGUUGUUCGGAUUUACUGGGCGUAAAGGGCGCGUAGGCGGCCACCGCAAGUCGACUGUGAAAUCUCCGGGCUUAACUCGGAAAGGUCAGCCGAUACUGCGGGGCUAGAGUGCAGAAGGGGCAACUGGAAUUCUCGGUGUAGCGGUGAAAUGCGUAGAUAUCGAGAGGAACACCUGCGGCGAANGCGGGUUGCUGGGCUGACACUGACGCUGAUGUGCGAAAGCUAGGGGAGCGAACGGGAUUAGAUACCCCGGUAGUCCUAGCCUUAAACGAUGAAUGCUUGGUGUCUGGGGUUUUAUAGUCCCCCGGGUGCCGUCGCUAACGCUUUAAGCAUUCCGCCUGGGGGAGUAC
rnacentral:rRNA from 1 species